GAGGAGUGGCCGAGUGGUCGAAGGCGGCGGUCUUGAAAACCGUUGGCCCUUAACCGGGUCCGGGAGUUCGAAUCUCUCCUCCUCC
rnacentral:tRNA from 1 species